rnacentral:rRNA from 1 species
CCCUUAGAUGUUCUGGGCCGCACGCGCGCUACACUGAUGCAUUCAACGAGUUUCUUCCUGGUCCGAGAGGAAUGGGUAACCUUUUGAAAGUGCAUCGUGAUAGGGAUAGACUAUUGCAAUUAUUGGUCUUCAACGAGGAAUUCCUAGUAGACGUAGUUCAUCAGACUGCAUCGAUUACGUCCCUGCCCUUUGUACACACCGCCCGUCGCUCCUACCGAUUGAAUGGUCCGGUGAAAUCUUCGGAUUGAGACUUUGAUUUCUUCACGGAAAACGCUGUUUUAAGAAGUUGAUUAAACCUUACCAUUUAGAGGAAGGUGAAGUCGUAACA